rnacentral:rRNA from 1 species
GUCGAGCGGAUGAGUGGAGCUUGCUCCAUGAUUCAGCGGCGGACGGGUGAGUAAUGCCUAGGAAUCUGCCUGGUAGUGGGGGACAACGUUUCGAAAGGAACGCUAAUACCGCAUACGUCCUACGGGAGAAAGCAGGGGACCUUCGGGCCUUGCGCUAUCAGAUGAGCCUAGGUCGGAUUAGCUAGUUGGUGAGGUAAAGGCUCACCAAGGCGACGAUCCGUAACUGGUCUGAGAGGAUGAUCAGUCACACUGGAACUGAGACACGGUCCAGACUCCUACGGGAGGCAGCAGUGGGGAAUAUUGGACAAUGGGCGAAAGCCUGAUCCAGCCAUGCCGCGUGUGUGAAGAAGGUCUUCGGAUUGUAAAGCACUUUAAGUUGGGAGGAAGGGCAGUAAGUUAAUACCUUGCUGUUUUGACGUUACCGACAGAAUAAGCACCGGCUAACUUCGUGCCAGCAGCCGCGGUAAUACGAAGGGUGCAAGCGUUAAUCGGAAUUACUGGGCGUAAAGCGCGCGUAGGUGGUUCAGCAAGUUGGAUGUGAAAGCCCCGGGCUCAACCUGGGAACUGCAUCC